UUACGUCCCGGCACUACAAUUCCGACCGCCCCAAUACUCUGUCCUCCACUGAGACAGGCUAUCCUGUCCUUGAGGACAGGGGCAGAGUUGAUUUUUCAAGCGCAUGUGGUAGGAAAGCAACACAGCGACGACUAUGACCUGGCUUUUGCUUUGCGUGUUGCUCUCAGUGUUCGGACUCACAUCAAGAGUCACCUGAAUGGCCUCCUGGCCCAGAAUGUUAAUGGUGUGCAGGCCGGAAUGGUCAAAAUUAAAACAAAUGAACGUCAGCAUUGUCUCGGUCGUGAUAAUGAAUCCAAGUUUAUGGGUCCAUGAAAAUUUUAAGUGGUGUAGUGAGGACUUGUAUCAGUCUUAACAAUUAUUAUUAUUCAUAUGUAUAUUCAUCAUUUCAUAUAUCCAGCCCACAUGCGAUGUGUUCAUACUCAUAUAUUCAUCCCACGUGUGUCCAUGGCCAGCCAGUCUAUUCUAUUUUUAACCUUUCUCCUCCUUUUCUACCUCUAAACGGAAUUUCACAACCACUUUCAGUCCUUAGGGAAAACACCUGCGUUCGCUUCUGAGUCUUUCCUUCCUGGUCAUUGGCCAAAAUAACGAGCUCUAUCAUUGACUUUUCCACCCCAUUUCGUGGCAUUUCGUGGUCACUCUUCAUCCCGGAAACUGUACUCUUGAUCCACUUCUCUGAGAUAAAUAUAACCCACAUGCGUAGCCAGUCCUCAGUUCCACUCAGUCCCAGUCAGAGUUCCAGUUAGGCCCCUUUCAGACGUAUCGACUUUACGCCGUCCGCCGUCCACGGCACGACGUCGUUCUCUCAAAUAACCAUGGAUGUCUAUGGACGCCUUCACACGUAUCGACCGACGCCGUGAACGACUUGGCGCCGUGGACGGCCGCCGUUGUCACAACGGCGCCCAUUUGGAAACGGCACGGCGUUGCGCCGUCGACGGCGUGAAAUGUACACAGGUCUCUAUGGACUUGUUCAAACGUGUCGACGUUCCGCCGUCUGAAGUGGACGGCGCGAGUAGCGUGUCACACCACUUCAGUCGUUUCCUGACCACAGACGUGUUUAUAGUAUUGCUCACCAUUGAUAAUGGAAGACGUUGAUGUAGACGUUGAAUUGUUGAUUAGCCUGGUUGAAGAGAGGCCUGUUCUCUGGGACAAAAGCCUUGAAGCAUAUAAGUCCAAGACUGAAACCACUGCAGCAUGGAGGGAAGUCUGCAAUCAUCUGAACCCGGGCUUUGAGUCUAUGAGUGACGAUGCAAAGAACAUUUUUUGAUGGCAAAGUAGAGGACUCAACCUGUUGAGGAGCUCAUCGAAUGAUUCUUUGCUCAUUCUGAAGUAGUUGAAAAACUUUUUUGUAUCUCUUCUGAGUUCCUCAUACAGUGUGACAAAAGCUCCAACCACUGGUCUGGCAACAUUGAUAUUAUGGACCCACUUUCUGCUGUGUGAACGUUGUUUUUUCUUUUUAAAUAUAAGUAAUAUAGGUAGAGCAGGUGGUCCUGUGUGUCCAUGAUGAAAGAAUGGAGGCAACUGGCAGGUGGACGGCACAGGCCGUGCCGUUGUGUCAACGGCGCCCGCCGUCGACACCACUGCGCUCUCUCUGGAAUGCACGGCGCUGGGUCCUAGACGGCGGACGGCGUAAAGUCGAUACGUCUGAAAGGGGCCUUAGAGUUAAUCUUGGUCGCUUAGUCAGUUCCCGUUCGAAUCACAGUCAGUCUUGAGAGACGCUGCUUAGUCAUCAUCACGUGCAGCAGCUCAUAUCACUUCAGAGAGAACAAUCAAUCGUCACGUUUAUAAUCAUCUGUGUCUCAUCUCGUAUCAAGUGUAUAUAUUAUCUCUGUCAUUAAAUCAAGAAGAACUCUUAUUUAUCAUUCGUGUCUUUUACUCGCACACAUCAACUAUAUCAACUUACUACCCACGACCUCCUCCUCGCUACUGACAAUACCAAGCUCACUACCGAUACUCUACGCUACCAACACACCAAGCUCCUCAUCUGAUCCAGCAGUGGCAAGCAUGAACUGUGGCAUCAUCAUCAACUGGGCAAGUAUCUCAUCUAAACCAGGAACAGUAGAAGAGAGGUAACAUCGAUCUCAGUGUUACCGCCAACAGUGAUGCUGGCAGUUAUGGAAGUGUUUUGGAAGUUAUGAUGGAAGAACAAACAAAUGUAUGCUAAAUAACAUGUUCUGUGUUAUGAGAGUUGGUGUGAACUAGUGUUAGUGGUGUCUUAAGUUCUGGUGCUAUGAAGGUUAAGUAAAUGAGGGGAGUAUAAUCGCCAGCCGUGCCGCCUCACAAGGUCCUGUGAGGACGGCGUUGAGAGACUAAUAUGAGGUAUGUAAAACACUAAGGACGCUAAGUUAAUUAGAAUAGAGAUUAAGGAAACUGAAUUCAUUAUAGUAGUUUAUUGCAGUAGUGAAGUUGUGUGAGAAGGACUAGCUGUGGAGAGCUUAGCUAUAGAGAGAUAGUGAUGGUCGUGUUUGUGUGGUAAAGUUGAUGACAUGGCGUGUAGGGUAGAUAAGACACAUGGGUCACUCAGGAACUAUCGCUGAUAUAAGGGUAAGGUGGGCAGGCGCGAGGAGCCGCGGGCCAGCAGGGACGAAGCCCUGAAGGGCAGAUUCCUUUGUGCCGCCACCGGGUUAGGGUAUGACUACUCCAGGAUAGAUCGGACCACUACAAUACAGAUGCAGGUGUUGCUUGGUGACAGGCCUCCUUAAGAUCCCAAACACGGAGUGGUUCCCCAACAGUCUCCGGGAGGAUUGCCAGCAAGAAACACGCUGCCAAGGAGGUCACUCCAAAUAGGACUGACGGUAGCCAGGGAAACGCCACGGCCUGAGGAGAGGAGAGGAGAUAGAUGGUGGGCUGUGCAGUUACACCAAGCAGUGACGUCACAGGGUACGGACCUCGGUGGGCUGCAGCUCUGCCUGAUAGACCACGAGGAUCAUGUACGCCCCGCUGACUGUCAGUUUUCCCAGCAUGGCUAGUGUCAGCACCAGCCACGACAUAUCUACGAGAUGGAAGAAACGUGAGUGCUGACGCAAAUGAAGGGAACAGAGAUAUUGUGGAAUAAGAAGCAACAACAGCAGCAGUAGUAACAGUAGUAGUAGUAGUAGUAGUAGUAGUAGUAGUAGUAGUAGUAGUAGUAGUAGUAGUAGUGCUUAGUAGCAGUAGCAGUAUCAGUACUUAGUACUACUACUAGUAGUAGUAGUAGUAGUAGUAGUAGUAGUAAUAGUAGUAGUAGUAGUAGUAGCAUCAGCAGCAUCAGCAGCAGCAGCAACAACAACAACAACAACAACAAUAACAGCAGCAGCAGCAGCAGCAGUGGCAUUAUUAUCAUUAGUAAUAGUAGUAGUAACAGUAAUAACAGUAGUUGUAGUAAUAAUAGUAGUAGUAGCAGCAGCAGCAGCAGUAGUAAUAGUAGUAGUAGUAGAAGUAGUAGCAGCAGCAAAAGGGAGUAUGACAGAACAAGUCUUUCAGUUUUGUGAUACAGGUUUCUUCAUUCCGCUGGGUGGAGUUGAGGGAUAACUUGUAAAAAUUGUGACGGUGUUUCACAUAUGGUUUCUCAAUAUCAACUCAGCCAAUUCUCUUGAAACUUGGUAUUUAUCGUGUAUUCUUGAAAUGCUCAAUAAAUGAACAUGUCAAAUCUGAAUAUACGCUGCAUAUGCGUAAAUGCCUCAUAACAACUCAUGAAUCAAACCUGACUUUAAUAAGGUGAUCAAACUGAAAUUUGGUGAGUAUUAUGGGCUGACAACGCUUACACGAAUGAAUAUGCAAAAUUCAUAUUCCUUCUGCGCAUGCUCAAACCACCGGGUAAAACGUGGACAAAAUAAAUAACGUCGAGUUUUCUGCAACUUUAACCCACUAAAUUUAGCUUGAGAGAUGUACAAUACAGUGCAGACUCAGGUCACUGGGGAUGCCGACAGAUGAGUUAAUGGGGGUGUACCUCACCUUCAUCCUCCCCAAACUCAUGUACGCCUCCCCAGCGUGGUCCUCCUCCCUCACACACACUCAACAGCUACAGCUAGAGAGUGUGCAGAAAAGGGCGUGCAGGGUCAUCCUUGGCCCUGCCUACACCACCUAUGAAGGAGCCCUGACCACCCUGAGUCUGUCCAGACUAUCCACCAGGCACCGAGAGGCUCUGGAGAAGUUUGGAAAGGGACUACUGCAUCAUCCACGUCUCAGACCCAUGCCGCCGCCUGACGCGCCUCGCCCAGUCCGUGCCACCAGACACCACAACAAGAUAAAGCCCCUAAAGGCGCCGCGCACGGACCGGUACAGACUCAGCGCGAUUCCCUCCAUGGUGCGAGCCAUCAAUCAAUAGUCCCUUCUAGAUUAGACUUACCUUUAGGAUUAAUGUUAAGUAUUUCCCCACCCCCUUUGUACAUUUUCAGUUUUUUUUUUUUCUUUUAUGUAGGAAGGACACUGGCCAAGGGCAACAAAAAUCCAAUGAAAAAAUAUGCCCACCGAAAUGCCAGUCCCAUAAAAGGGUCAGAGCAGUGGUCAAAAAUUGAUGAAUAAGUGUCUUGAAACCUCCCUCUUGAAGGAAUUCAAGUCAUAGGAAGGUGGAAAUACAGAAGUAGGCAGGGAGUUCCAGAGUUUACCAGAGAAAGGGAUGAAUGAUUGAGAAUACUGGUUAACUCUUGCGUUAGAGAGGUGGACAGAAUAGGGGUGAGAGAAAGAAGAAAGUCUUGUGCAGCGAGGCCGCGGAAGGAGGGGAGGCAUGCAGUUAGCAAGAUCAGAAGAGCAGUUAGCAUGAAAAUAGCGGUAAAAGACAGCUAGAUAUGCAACAUUGCGGCGGUGAGAGAGAGGCUGAAGACAGGCUGUUAGAGGAGAGGAGUCGAUGAGACGAAAAGCUUUUGAUUCCACCUUGUCUAGUAGAACAGUAUGAGUGGAACCCCCCCCCAGACAUGUGAAGCAUACUCCAUACAUGGACGGAUAAGGCCCUUGUAAAGAGUUAGCAGCUGGGGGGGGGGAUGAGAAAAACUGGCGGAGACGUCUCAGAACACCUAACUUCAUGGAAGAUGUUUUAGCUAGAGACGAGAUGUGAAGUUUCCAGUUCAGAUUAUAAGUAAAGGACAGACCAAGGAUGUUCAGUGUAGAAGAGGGGAACAGUUGAGUGUCAUUGAAGAAGAGGGGAUAGUUGUCUGGAAGGUUGUGUCGAGUUGAUAGAUGGAGGAAUUGAGUUUUUGAGGCAUUGAACAAUACCAAGUUUGCUCUGCCCCAAUCAGAAAUUUUAGAAAGAUCAGAAGUCAAGCGUUCUGUGGCUUCCCUGCGUGAUAUGUUUACCUCCUGAGGGGUUGGACGUCUAUGAAAAGACGGAAAAGUGCAGGGUAGUAUCAUCAGCAUAAGAGUGGAUAGGACAAGAAGUUUGGUUUAGAAGAUCAUUAAUGAAUAAUAAGAAGAGAGUGGGUGACAGGACAGAAUCCUGAGGAACACCACUGUUAAUAGAUAUAGGAGAAGAACAGUGACCGUCUACCACAGCAGCAAUAGAACGGUCAGAAAGGAAAUUUGAGCUGAAGUUACAGAGAGAAUAGAAACCGUAGGAGGGUAGUUUGGAAAUCAAAACUUUGUGCCAGACUCUAUCAAAAGCUUUUGAUAUGUCCAAGGCAACAGCAAAAGUUUCACCAAAAUCUCUAAAAGAUAAUAAUAAACCGUUUAUUAUUAUUAUUAUUAUUAUUAUUAUUUUUUUUACACACACACACACACACACACACACACACACACACACACACACACACACACACACACACACACACACACACACACACACACACACACACACACACACACACACACA